rnacentral:rRNA from 1 species
AACGAACGCUGGCGGCAUGCCUAACACAUGCAAGUCGAACGAGACCUUCGGAUCUAGUGGCGCACGGGUGCGUAACGCGUGGGAACCUGCCCUUAGGUUCGGAAUAACUCCCCGAAAGGGGUGCUAAUACCGGAUAAUGUCUUCGGACCAAAGAUUUAUCGCCUUUGGAUGGGCCCGCGUUGGAUUAGCUAGUUGGUAGGGUAAAAGCCUACCAAGGCGACGAUCCAUAGCUGGUCUGAGAGGAUGAUCAGCCACACUGGGACUGAGACACGGCCCAGACUCCUACGGGAGGCAGCAGUGGGGAAUAUUGGACAAUGGCGAAAGCCUGAUCCAGCAAUGCCGCGUGAGUGAUGAAGGCCUUAGGGUUGUAAAGCUCUUUUACCCGGGAUGAUAAUGACAGUACCGGGAGAAUAAGCUCCGGCUAACUCCGUG